CCCACUUUCAGUCUCAAAACCCUGUAAAACAGGAGGAUUUACAAAGAAGUGUUCUUUCGACAACUUCCCUAAGCGAGGAUACAAGGCCUUCUGAAGAGGAAAAUGGAGAUUCAAGCCUAAGUUGAAGCUUUUGCACUAGGACAAAGUGCGAGCAAGCUCUGAUCAAUCAAAAUUCAAAGAUCAUUUUAGUAACUCAAAACUUUAUAUGGCUUUUCGUGAAAUCAAAU
rnacentral:lncRNA from 1 species